CUAGAGUAUUAUAUCUUUACCUUUAUAGUAAUAAUUUAAUUUAGUAUUGAUUAAAAUGAUAAUAUAUCAAAUUCAAUAUAGCUACAAAUAACUGCAUAUUAUGUUGUGGCUAUAUAAUAAUUCAGAAAUUUAACACAAAAAUUUCCAUUCCCGCUUUGCCUUUUUCUCAUUUUCCCGGCUAAAGCAUUUCCGGGGCAAACAAAUUAUUUUCUGUUUGAAACGAAACCACAAAAUUUAUUUAAGUAUAGAAAUACAAAAAAUCUUUUUUACUUAUCUUCAAUUCUCCCUUUGUUUCUUCAGCCUCCUCUGUAUCUUUUCUCAAUCUUCUCUCUUCAACCUUCUAAUAUAGCUGUUGCUUCCUAAUUCGUGUUUAAGAUGAAUCUCCUAGGCGUCAAUCUUAAAAUCGCUUCUUUCAUGCCUCAGUUCCAUAGCUCACGAUCCGAUUGUAAUUUAUGCGCUUCUUGGGUUAGGUUCUGUCUCUGUGAGUUUUGUUUCUAUCUCACAUUUAGAUUAGUGAAAUUGAGGUUUAAAUGAAAAUCUUGUUUGGUUCUUAGCGCAACAAGAGAACCUGAAACCCUUGCUUUUAUUUCAUUCUGAAUGGUGCUUGAUUUGUGAUUUGACGAGUGAUUAGAUAAAAAGAUGAAUCCUUUACUCACUUUGUGUUUCCAUUGUCAUAGGUUUCUGCAAACGACGAAGUUUUGUGUACUGCUUGAUAUCAAGGAGAAAACUUUGAAGAAGCUGUCUAAGCAGACAUGAUAUACGAAUCCAAGUAGCAGGGGUCACUUGUACAGUUCUCUGGCUCUAAGGAAAUUCAAAUGAUGCUGGAGAUUGCGGUGGCAUCCCUGUGUUUAAUACUUAUAAUGUCACUGCAUUUGAGAAGAUGGCCAAGGAGUUUGUGGAGAUGUUCAAACACGAAGUAAUGCUAUAGGGCGAUCUUAGGAGGAGCCAUACUUGUUCCUGAAGUCGCAAUGCAAGUAGCAAAGAAGAGACAUAAUUGAUUGAUAUCAGUGACGAGGAAGAAACAAGUCUCGAAGGAGAUUUAAGUUUGGGUAUAAGGAUGAGUGGUACGUAGGCAAAUCGAACCUCCGGUCAAGUUUGAUAUAGCCAAGAGACCAGGAGCAAAGAGAUACCGUGCACCAGUUUAGAUUUAGGUUUUUAUUAGGUUUUCAAAACCAGUUUAUUAUUUAUGAACCACUUUUAAUUUGUAAACCAUAUUGAAAAUAUUAUUGGAAAUAAAAGAAAAUAAAAUAAUUGAUUUGGUUUUAGUAUUUA